rnacentral:rRNA from 1 species
UACGUAGGGUGCGAGCGUUGUCCGGAAUUAUUGGGCGUAAAGAGCUUGUAGGUGGUUUGUCGCGUCUGCUGUGAAAAUCCGAGGCUCAACCUCGGACUUGCAGUGGGUACGGGCAGACUAGAGUGUGGUAGGGGAGACUGGAAUUCCUGGUGUAGCGGUGGAAUGCGCAGAUAUCAGGAGGAACACCGAUGGCGAAGGCAGGUCUCUGGGCCAAUUACUGACACUGAGAAGCG